CCUACGGGAGGCAGCAGUGGGGAAUAUUGGACAAUGGGCGCAAGCCUGAUCCAGCCAUGCCGCGUGAGUGAUGAAGGCCCUAGGGUUGUAAAACUCUUUCGCCGGUGAAGAUAAUGACGGUAACCGGUAAAGAAGCCCCGGCUAACUUCGUGCCAGCAGCCGCGGU
rnacentral:rRNA from 1 species